rnacentral:tRNA from 1 species
AAGUUAAUUAGCUUAAAAAAAGUGUAUAUUUUGAAAAUAUAAGAUAGAUUUGUUUUUAUUAACUUA